rnacentral:lncRNA from 1 species
CGAGAAAGGAGAACCUGCGGCGCGAGGUUCCGAGUCCGCCAAGCUCCCGGCAUGAAGCGCGGCGCUCCUGGCUUGCACCUUGGCGUGCGGAGCUGGCACUUUGGCGCUGUUGGCGACGGUGGGGAGAGCUGUAGAGUGUGAAGUUCCUUGUCUGCUGGCAGCCAGAGGCGACGAGUCUGGACCUCAUGGAAGUCCAGACUCUAGUCUGGACGCGUCCCUUUUGACGGCGUUUCGCUCUUAUCACCCAGGCUGCAGUGCAAUGGCACGAUCUCGGCUGACUGCAACCUCUACCUCCUGGGUUCAAGCGAUUCUCCUGCCUCAGACUCCUGACUAGCUGGGACUACAGGUAUGUGCCACCAUGCAAAAUAUUUAUAUAGCAAAGUUAGGUAUUUCUGUAUAUUAGGUAUUUACUAUUUGGCUAACUUUGUCUAUAAAUGAUCAUUGAUAUGGCUGGAAAGGUUUGUGUCAACUCUUUU